rnacentral:rRNA from 14 species
AUUUCCGAAUGGGGAAACCCGACCCUUUAGGGUCAUCGUACGGUGAAUUCAUAGCCGUGCGAGGCGAACCCGGGGAACUGAAACAUCUCAGUACCCGGAGGAAAGGACAUCAAACGAGACUCCGUUAGUAGUGGCGAGCGAACGCGGACCAGGCCAGUGGCUUGUGUGUAAGAACGGGAAGAAGCUGGAAAGCUUUGCCAUAGUGGGUGACAGCCCCGUACCGGUAGAAAGCAUGCAAGUCCUCGAGUAAGGCGGAACACGUGAAAUUCUGUCUGAACAUGGGUAGACCACUAUCCAAGCCUAAGUACUCGCACACGACCGAUAGCGAACCAGUACCGUGAGGGAAAGG